rnacentral:rRNA from 1 species
CAGUCGCCGCGGGAAUACGUAGGUCCCGAGCGUCGUCCGGAUUUAUUGGGCGUAAGCGAGCGCAGGCGGUUAGAUAAGUCUGAAGUUAAAGGCUGUGGCUUAACCAUAGUACACUUUGGAAACUGUUUAACUUGAGUGCAAGAGGGGAGAGUGGAAUUCCAUGUGCAGCGGUGAAAUGCGUAGAUAUAUGGAGGAACACCGGUGGCGAGAGCGGCUCUCUGGCUUGUAACUGACGCUGAGGCUCGAAAGCGUGGGGAGCAAACAGGAUUAGAUACCCGAGUAGUCCCUGUCUCUUAUACCA